GGGUUUCUGUUGUAUUAAUUUUUGUAUUUUUAUAAAGUUUUUUCCUUUACAUCACAACUUUACUUUACAAUCAUAUGCAUAUGCAUAUAUGCUUUCUUCUCUCUCUACUUUCUCUCUCCUCAUUAGUACUUGUUUUUGUUUUCAGCUUAAUGCUUUUGACUCCAAAGUUGAAGAGAUUCCUUAGUCAGAUCCACAAGGAAAAACUUUUGUACAUUGUUGUCAUCAUCAACUAUUCAUCUUUUGUGUCUUUUGUUUUGUCACUUGGUUUUAUUUCUAUUAAUUCUUCAAGGUUGAAGCUUUUCAACAAUUCACUCAUGAUGUUUCACAACAUAACAUGUAAGUUUGGUUUUCUUUUUUGUGUGUUUUUGAAUGUGUCAAUGUUUUAAAUUUUUGGACUUUUUGUGAUGAUGGAAUUUGAUCAAUCAUUUAACUAAUUAACCAUCUUUGAAAUUGUCAAAAAAUGUGUAUGAUCCAACCAGACUCUCAUACCACUGUUGGGAUAUGAGGGGAGAAUCUCACUGGGUUGGAUCGACAUAUUGUACAUUGAACAACCACACAGGUGACUCUGACGAUUUUUGUGUUUUUAUAGGUGAUUUACAAGUUUUGGACUAAAAUUUCUUGAGAUGCAAGUUCUAUUGGCAUUGAAGUUGAGAUCAAAGUUUCUAUAUUGUAGA
rnacentral:lncRNA from 1 species